GAUGAACGCUGGCGGCGGGCCUAAUACAUGCAAGUCGAGCGAACAGACGAGGAGUUCGCUCCUCUGACGCUAGCGGCGGACGGGUGAGUAACACGUGGAUAACUGACCUAUAAGACUGGGAUAACUACGGGAAACCGGAUCUAAUACCGGAUAAUAUAGUGAACCGCAUGGAUCAAUAGUGAUAGCCGGUUUUGCUGACACUAAUAGGUGGUACCGCGUCGCAUUAGCUAGUUGGUAAGGUAACGGCCUACCAAGGCUACGAUCCGUAGCUGACCUGAGAGGAUGAUCAGCCACACUGGAACUGAGACACGGUCCAGACUCCUACGGGAGGCAGCAGUGGGGAAUCUUCCACAAUGGGCGAAAGCCUGACCCAGCAACGCCGCGUGAGUGAUGAAGGUCUUCGGAUCGUAAAGCUCUGUUAUUAGGGAAGAACAGAAGUAUAAGAAACUCUGCACGUCUUGACGGUACCUACAGAAAAAGCCCCGGCUAACUACGUG
rnacentral:rRNA from 1 species